rnacentral:rRNA from 1 species
AUUGAACGCUGGCGGCAGGCCUAACACAUGCAAGUCGAACGAGUGGCGGACGGGUGAGUAAUGUCUGGGCAACUGCCUGAUGGAGGGGGAUAACUACUGGCAACGGUAGCUAAUACCGCAUACCAUCGGAUGUGCCCAUAUGGGAUUGGCUAGUAGGUGGGGUAAAGGCUCACCUAGGCGACGAUCCCUAGCUGGUCUGAGAGGAUGACCAGCCACACUGGGACUGAGACACGGUCCAGAUUCCGACGGUAGGCAGCAGUGGGGAAUAUUGCACAAUGGGCGCAAGCCUGAUGCAGCCAUGCCGCGUGUAUGAAGAAGGCCUUCGGGUUGUAAAGUACUUUCAGCGGGGAGGCGUUACCGGCAGAAGAAGCACCGGCUAACUCCGUGCCAGCAGCCGCGGUAAUUC